GAUGAACGCUGGCGGCGUGCCUAAUACAUGCAAGUCGAGCGAAAAGACGAGGCGCUUGCUGCGUCGACGAUAGCGGCGCACGGGUGAGUCACACGUAUGUCACCUACCUAUAAGACUGGGAUAACUUCGGGAAACCGGAUCUAACAGCGGAGAAUAUUUCGAACCGCAUGGUUCGAUGGUGAGAGAUGGCUUUGCUGGCUCUACUAGAUGGACCUGGGCGGUAUUAGCUGGUUGGUACGGUAACGGCUUACCAAGGCAACGAUACGUAGCCGACGUGAGAGAGUGAUAGGCCACACUGGAGCGGGGACGCGGUCCAGAGGACUGAGGUAGGCAGCAGUAGGGAAUCGGACGCAAUGGGCGGAAGCAUGACGGAGUGGCGCCGCGUGAGUGAUGAAGGUCUUCGGUGCGGAAAACUCUGUUAUUGGGGAAGAACAAACGUGUAAGUAACUGUGCACGGCGUGACGGUACUUAGUCAGAAAGCCACGGCUAACUACGUG
rnacentral:rRNA from 1 species